GAUUAACGCUAGCGGCAGGCCUAAUACAUGCAAGUCGAGGGGCAGCGUGGUCUUCGGACUGACGGCGACCGGCAAACGGGUGCGUAACGCGUAUGCAACCUACCUACUACUGGGGAAUAGCCUGGGGAAACUCGGAUUAAUACCCCAUAAUACAGGGCUUCUGUAUGGAAAUAUUUGUUAAAGCUCCGGCGGUAGUAGAUGGACAUGCGUCCUAUUAGCUUGUUGGUGAGGUAAUGGCUCACCAAGGCGA
rnacentral:rRNA from 1 species